rnacentral:rRNA from 1 species
AUGCUGAUUGAGAUAGUUAAUCAAUUGGCAUGGGGUGGCCACAUCCAGCGAGGGUGGCGUUCUGUGGAUUUGGCGCCCCCCAUCCCAGCAGCACGUGGGAGCCGGUGUCUUCGGGAAGAGCUGGGUCUCCUUGCCGGCGACCUCACCAUCUUGCCAGCGACUUCACCUUCACCAGCCCAUCUACAGAAAAUUGGCUGCGUUCAAAAUAGUGAUGUGAUGGAGCUAAUGAGAGGGCUCAUAAAUCAGCUUAGUGAGCUUAUAUCUUGGUUGGGCACACAGGACCUUGGUCCGAGGAGCUUGGGACUUUCCCACAACUUGUCUAGAUACAAGCUGAAAUUCAGUCCUAAAAAGGUGAGGAAUUCAUGGGCUUGUAACAUGGAAAAAUAA